rnacentral:lncRNA from 1 species
GGUCUGCUGUGCUGAGACUCAUGGCAAACCCCAGGGGCCACCUAUGAUGUGCCAGACACAUAAGCCCCUCCCUCACAGGCGUGGGUGCAGCUGGGGCUGACCGCAUUCCAAGGAGCAUUUCCUCUGAAAGCCAGGCCAAGUGCCCGCUCUCCAGCGUGAGUCAAGCAGUGCCAUGCCUCCCACACCCCUUGCAUCACAUCUCUGGGAAUGCACAGACCUUGCUGUUACGCUCUCUCUUCCCACCCUUUAUGGGUGUUUUCUUUAAGUGGCAGAAGGAAGUGGGCAUGGGUUGGGAGAGGACCAUGAAUUCUAGUUUCUGCCAUACUGCGGGUGGAUUUGGGGAAGAAUUUUGGUCUAGGCAACAUCAGAUGAAAACGAACACUAAGGGCAAUCCUGAAGAACCAAAAGAAACUGCCAAUGGACAGGGGGGUGAAUUGUAUCCUGUACUGUUUACAGCCUCAUCUCCAACUUUUGCAGAGUCAAGAAUUUAAAAGCA